rnacentral:rRNA from 1 species
AGUGAACGCUGGCGGCGUGCCUAAUACAUGCAAGUCGAACGGAGUGGCGCACGGGUGAGUAAUGUAUAUCUAAUCUGCCCUACACUAGAGGACAACAAUUGGAAACGACUGCUAAUACUCUAUAGUGUAGGUUGAGGCUAUAUUGUAUCAGCUAGUUGGUGAGGUAAUGGCUCACCAAGCCUAUGACGCAUAACUGGUCUGAGAGGAUGGUCAGCCGCACUGUAACGGAGACACGGUCCAGACUCCUACGGGAGGGAGCAGUAGGGUAUAUUGCCCAAUCGGCGUAUCCCUGAAGGAGCAACGCCGCGUGGAGGAUGAUAGUUUGCGGAGCGUAAACUCCUUUUGUUAGGGAAGCGGUACCUAACGAAUAAGCACCGGCUAACUCCGUGCCAGCAGCCGCGGUAAUUC